UUCAACUACUCAGUCCACUGUAUUGACUGAAGUGCCACGUCGGCGUCAAAACUCAUGCACCAAGAUGGAAACAGCUUUUGAAAUUGCCAUCGGAGUGACGGAUGCGCCCACCUCUCACCGUCUGCCUCGCACCACAGGCUGAAGGUCACUGAGGUGGUCCGUCCUGGCCUGGGUCACCUUGAACACGACCCUCCGGAGGUCUGCCACGCCCACCUCCAUGUCCUCCAGCAUGCCGAUCUCUUCGCCUUGGGACGGUGCUGAGCAGGCUUUCAAACUGGGCCACCAGGCCGACCAGGUGGAGCUGCCUCAGGAAACCUUUGUCCUGCAUUCCUGCGUACACGCGCAUGACGAAGCCACACGCCAACACUGCCAGCUGCCUGACUGAAGACGACGUCCCUCCUCUGCUGAAGUAGGAAACCCUGCGGGAUGCUGCAGGCGGCCUCCUGCAGAAGCACAAAGGUGACGGCUCUCUUGGCCUUGUCCACCACCUGUGCCACGCACUCCUUUAACCUGGCCACUAGGGGGCACAGCUGCUCCCGCCAGUCACUUGCUGCAUCAACAUUGGGAAAACAAGGAAGAAGUCAAACGACGUUGGCGUUACUUCACGUCUCACGCGCUGACCCAUUGGCAAGCAAGGGAUCUCUUCCUGUUUUCGAGGACUUCUGACAUCUCAAGGGUGACUUUUUUUAUACCGCAUCAGAAUUCAUCAUAGAUGUUUCACAGUUAACGGCGCAUCAUUAAACACAUUGUGAAAUUGUCUUCGUGGAAAGGACGCAGCGCCUGUGAAAAGACUUUGUAAAACCAGACAAUGAAAUGGCAUCAGCAGUCUGCACUGACAAGCGAGGUGUCCAUUGUAUAUUCCUUAAAAU